rnacentral:rRNA from 2 species
UUUAUGGAGAGUUUGAUCCUGGCUCAGGAUGAACGCUGGCGGCGUGCCUAAUACAUGCAAGUCGAGCGAACGGACGAGAAGCUUGCUUCUCUGAUGUUAGCGGCGGACGGGUGAGUAACACGUGGAUAACCUACCUAUAAGACUGGGAUAACUUCGGGAAACCGGAGCUAAUACCGGAUAAUAUUUUGGACCGCAUGGUUCAAAAGUGAAAGACGGUCUUGCUGUCACUUAUAGAUGGAUCCGCGCUGCAUUAGCUAGUUGGUAAGGUAACGGCUUACCAAGGCAACGAUGCAUAGCCGACCUGAGAGGGUGAUCGGCCACACUGGAACUGAGACACGGUCCAGACUCCUACGGGAGGCAGCAGUAGGGAAUCUUCCGCAAUGGGCGAAAGCCUGACGGAGCAACGCCGCGUGAGUGAUGAAGGUCUUCGGAUCGUAAAACUCUGUUAUUAGGGAAGAACAUAUGUGUAAGUAACUGUGCACAUCUUGACGGUACCUAAUCAGAAAGCCACGGCUAACUACGUGCCAGCAGCCGCGGUAAUACGUAGGUGGCAAGCGUUAUCCGGAAUUAUUGGGCGUAAAGCGCGCGUAGGCGGUUUUUUAAGUCUGAUGUGAAAGCCCACGGCUCAACCGUGGAGGGUCAUUGGAAACUGGAAAACUUGAGUGCAGAAGAGGAAAGUGGAAUUCCAUGUGUAGCGGUGAAAUGCGCAGAGAUAUGGAGGAACACCAGUGGCGAAGGCGACUUUCUGGUCUGUAACUGACGCUGAUGUGCGAAAGCGUGGGGAUCAAACAGGAUUAGAUACCCUGGUAGUCCACGCCGUAAACGAUGAGUGCUAAGUGUUAGGGGGUUUCCGCCCCUUAGUGCUGCAGCUAACGCAUUAAGCACUCCGCCUGGGGAGUACGACCGCAAGGUUGAAACUCAAAGGAAUUGACGGGGACCCGCACAAGCGGUGGAGCAUGUGGUUUAAUUCGAAGCAACGCGAAGAACCUUACCAAAUCUUGACAUCCUUUGACAACUCUAGAGAUAGAGCCUUCCCCUUCGGGGGACAAAGUGACAGGUGGUGCAUGGUUGUCGUCAGCUCGUGUCGUGAGAUGUUGGGUUAAGUCCCGCAACGAGCGCAACCCUUAAGCUUAGUUGCCAUCAUUAAGUUGGGCACUCUAAGUUGACUGCCGGUGACAAACCGGAGGAAGGUGGGGAUGACGUCAAAUCAUCAUGCCCCUUAUGAUUUGGGCUACACACGUGCUACAAUGGACAAUACAAAGGGCAGCGAAACCGCGAGGUCAAGCAAAUCCCAUAAAGUUGUUCUCAGUUCGGAUUGUAGUCUGCAACUCGACUACAUGAAGCUGGAAUCGCUAGUAAUCGUAGAUCAGCAUGCUACGGUGAAUACGUUCCCGGGUCUUGUACACACCGCCCGUCACACCACGAGAGUUUGUAACACCCGAAGCCGGUGGAGUAACCUUUUAGGAGCUAGCCGUCGAAGGUGGGACAAAUGAUUGGGGUGAAGUCGUAACAAGGUAGCCGUAUCGGAAGGUGCGGCUGGAUCACCUCCUUU